UACGGGGGGGGCAAGCGUUGUUCGGAAUUACUGGGCGUAAAGGGUUCGUAGGUGGCCAACUCAGUCAGACGUGAAAUCCCUCAGCUCAACUGGGGAACUGCGUCUGAUACUAGAUGGCUCGAGUGCAGGAGAGGAACGCGGAAUUCCAGGUGUAGCGGUGAAAUGCGUAGAUAUCUGGAGGAACACCCGUGGUGCAGACGGCUUGCUGGACCGUGACUGACGCUGAGGCACGAAAGCGUGGGUAGCAAACAGG
rnacentral:rRNA from 1 species